CACGUAGGGUGCAAGCGUUGUCCGGAAUUAUUGGGCGUAAAGAGCUCGUAGGCGGUGUGCCGCGUCGGCCGUGAAAACCUGCAGCUUAACUGUGGGCUUGCGGUCGAUACGGGCAUCACUGGAGUUCGGCAGGGGAGACUGGAAUUCCUGGUGUAGCGGUGAAAUGCGCAGAUAUCAGGAGGAACACCGGUGGCGAAGGCGGGUCUCUGGGCCGAUACUGACGCUGAGGAGCGAAAGCGUGGGGAGCGAACAGG
rnacentral:rRNA from 1 species